UACGUAGGGUGCGAGCGUUGUCCGGAAUUACUGGGCGUAAAGAGCUCGUAGGUGGUUUGUCGCGUUGUCCGUGAAAACUCACAACUCAAUUGUGGGCGUGCGGGCGAUACGGGCAGACUGGAGUACUGCAGGGGAGACUGGAAUUCCUGGUGUAGCGGUGGAAUGCGCAGAUAUCAGGAGGAACACCGGUGGCGAAGGCGGGUCUCUGGGCCACUACUGACGUUGAGAAGCGAAAGCAUGGGGAGCGAACAGG
rnacentral:rRNA from 1 species